GAUCAUGGCUCAGGAUAAACGCUGGCGGCGCACAUAAGACAUGCAAGUCGAACGGAAGUCGUUAUAAAAGGAGAGAAGAUUUGUCGGAUUGAAUUUUAUAACAAUGGCUUUAGUGGCGGACUGGUGAGUAACGCGUAAGGAACCUACCUAUUAGAGGGGAACAACAAUGAGAAAUCAUUGCUAAUACCGCAUAUGCCAUAACUACCGCAUGGUAGAAGUGGGAAAGGAGUAAUCCGCUGAUAG
rnacentral:rRNA from 1 species